rnacentral:rRNA from 1 species
UACGUAGGGCGCAAGCGUUAUCCGGAUUUAUUGGGCGUAAAGCGCGUGUAGGCGGCCAUACAGGUCCGUUGUGAAAACUCGAGGCUUAACCUCGAGACGUCGAUGGAAACCGUAUGGCUAGAGUCCGGAAGAGGAGAGUGGAAUUCCUGGUGUAGCGGUGAAAUGCGCAGAUAUCAGGAAGAACACCCGUGGCGAAGGCGGCUCUCUGGGACGGUACUGACGCUGAGACGCGAAAGCGUGGGGAGCGAACAGG